UAGGGAAUCUUCGGCAAUGGGGGGAACCCUGACCGAGCAACGCCGCGUGAGUGAAGAAGGUUUUCGGAUCGUAAAGCUCUGUUGUUAAGGAAGAACGAGUGUGAGAAUGGAAAGUUCAUACUGUGACGGUACUUAACCAGAAAGGGACGGCUAACUACGUGCCAGCAGCCGCGGUAAUACGUAGGUCCCGAGCGUUGUCCGGAUUUAUUGGGCGUAAAGCGAGCGCAGGCGGUUAGAUAAGUCUGAAGUUAAAGGCAGUGGCUCAACCAUUGUAGGCUUUGGAAACUGUUUAACUUGAGUGCAGAAGGGGAGAGUGGAAUUCCAUGUGUAGCAGUGAAAUGCGUAGAUAUAUGGAGGAACACCGGUGGCGAAAGCGGCUCUCUGGUCUGUAACUGACGCUGAGGCUCGAAAGCGUGGGGAGCGAACAGG
rnacentral:rRNA from 1 species